rnacentral:rRNA from 1 species
UACAGAGGGUGCAAGCGUUAAUCGGAAUUACUGGGCGUAAAGCGCGCGUAGGUGGUUAGUUAAGUUGGAUGUGAAAUCCCCGGGCUCAACCUGGGAACUGCAUUCAAAACUGACUGACUAGAGUAUGGUAGAGGGUGGUGGAAUUUCCUGUGUAGCGGUGAAAUGCGUAGAUAUAGGAAGGAACACCAGUGGCGAAAGCGACUCCCUGGACUGACCCUGACGCUGAGGCGCGAAAGCGUGGGGAGCAAACAGG